rnacentral:rRNA from 1 species
AUACGGAGGGUGCAAGCGUUAAUCGGAAUUACUGGGCGUAAAGCGCGCGUAGGCGGUUUGGUAAGUCGGAUGUGAAAGCCCCGGGCUCAACCUGGGAAUUGCAUUCGAUACUGCCAGACUAGAGUAUGGUAGAGGGAAGUGGAAUUCCGGGUGUAGCGGUGAAAUGCGUAGAUAUCCGGAGGAAAACCAGUGGCGAAGGCGACUUCCUGGACCAAUACUGACGCUGAGGUGCGAAAGCGUGGGGAGCAAACAGGAUUAGAAACCCUAGUAGUCC